rfam:Aedes aegypti strain Liverpool supercont1.744 genomic scaffold, whole genome shotgun sequence.
GGCUCGGUAGCUUAGUUGGUAAAGCGCUCGUCUAGCAUACAAGAGUCUUGAGUUCAAAUCCCAGCCGAGCAC